rnacentral:rRNA from 1 species
UACAGAGGUCUCAAGCGUUGUUCGGAUUCAUUGGGCGUAAAGGGUGCGUAGGUGGCUUGGUAAGUCGGAUGUGAAAUCCCGGGGCUCAACCCCGGAACUGCAUCCGAUACUGCCAGGCUGGAGUACUGGAGAGGAGAUUGGAAUUUACGGUGUAGCAGUGAAAUGCGUAGAUAUCGUAAGGAAGACCAGUGGCGAAGGCGGAUCUCUGGACAGUUACUGACACUGAGGCACGAAGGCCAGGGGAGCAAACGGG